CCUACGGGCGGCAGCAGUGGGGAAUAUUGCACAAUGGGGGAAACCCUGAUGCAGCGACGCCGCGUGAGUGAAGAAGUAAUUCGUUAUGUAAAGCUCUAUCAGCAGGGAAGAAAAUGACGGUACCUGAGUAAGAAGCCCCGGCUAACUACGUGCCAGCAGCCGCGGUAAUACGUAGGGGGCAAGCGUUAUCCGGAUUUACUGGGUGUAAAGGGAGCGUAGACGGCAGUGCAAGUCUGGAGUGAAAGGCGGGGCUCAACCCCCGGACUGCUCUGGAAACUGUACGGCUGGAGUGCAGGAGAGGUAAGUGGAAUUCCUAGUGUAGCGGUGAAAUGCGUAGAUAUUAGGAGGAACAUCAGUGGCGAAGGCGACUAUCUGGCACAUAACUGACGCUGAGGAGCGAAAGCGUGGGUAGCAAACAGGAUUAGAUACCCGGGUAGUC
rnacentral:rRNA from 1 species